rnacentral:miRNA from 1 species
UCUCCACUCUCUUCUGUCCCAG